rnacentral:rRNA from 1 species
UGGGGAAUAUUGCACAAUGGGCGCAAGCCUGAUGCAGCCAUGCCGCGUGUGUGAAGAAGGCCUUCGGGUUGUAAAGCACUUUCAGCGGGGAGGAAGGCGUUAAGGUUAAUAACCUUGGCGAUUGACGUUACCCUCAGAAGAAGCACCGGCUAACUCCGUGCCAGCAGCCGCGGUAAUACGGAGGGUGCAAGCGUUAAUCGGAAUUACUGGGCGUAAAGCGCACGCAGGCGGUUUGUUAAGUCAGAUGUGAAAUCCCCGGGCUCAACCUGGGAACUGCAUCUGAGACUGGCAAGCUUGAGUCUCGUAGAGGGGGGUAGAAUUCCAGGUGUAGCGGUGAAAUGCGUAGAGAUCUGGAGGAAUACCGGUGGCGAAGGCGGCCCCCUGGACGAAGACUGACGCUCAGGUGCGAAAGCGUGGGGAGCAAACAGG